rnacentral:rRNA from 1 species
GAUGAACGCUGGCGGUGUGCUUAACACAUGCAAGUCGAACGGAAAGGCCCUGCUUUUGUGUGUUGCUCGAGUGGCGAACGGGCGAGUACGUAGUGCGUAACCUGCUUUCGCUUUAGGGAUAAAUUAAGGAACCUGGGGCUAAUACCGGAUAGGAGUUCUUGCUGCAUGGCGGGGGUUGGAAAGUUUCGGCGGUCGGGGAUGGACUCGCGGCUUACCAGUUAGCUGGUUGGGUAGUGGCUUACCAAGGCUUUGACGGGUAGCUGGCCUGAGAGGGUGACCGGCCACAUUGGGACAGAGAUACGGCCCAGACUCCUGCGGGAGGCAGCAGUAUGGGAUAUUGCACGAUGGGCGGAAGCCUGAUGCAGCAACACCGCGUGCGGGAUGACGGCCUUCGUGUUGUAAGCCGCUUUCGCCUGUAACGAAGCGUGAGUGACGGUAAUGUAUAAAGAAGCACCGGCUAACUACGUG